UGACCACUCCUAUAUAGGAGUUAAGCCCAGACGGACAGGCGGGUCGGUUGCCG
rnacentral:sRNA from 1 species